UAUGGCCACACUUCGUUGAAACACCAGUUCUUGUACGAUCACCGAAGUUAAGCAACAUCGGGCCUGGUCAGUAGUCUAGAUAGGUGACCGCUUGGGAAUACCAGGUGCUGUAAG